CCUACGGGUGGCUGCAGUGGGGAAUUUUGGACAAUGGGCGAAAGCCUGAUCCAGCAAUGCCGCGUGCAGGAAGAAGGCCUUCGGGUUGUAAACUGCUUUUGUACGGAACGAAACGGUCUGCUUUAAUACAGUGGGCUAAUGACGGUACCGUAAGAAUAAGCACCGGCUAACUACGUGCCAGCAGCCGCGGUAAUACGUAGGGUGCGAGCGUUAAUCGGAAUUACUGGGCGUAAAGCGUGCGCAGGCGGUUAUGUAAGACAGUUGUGAAAUCCCCGGGCUCAACCUGGGAAUUGCAUCUGUGACUGCAUAGCUAGAGUACGGUAGAGGGGGAUGGAAUUCCGCGUGUAGCAGUGAAAUGCGUAGAUAUGCGGAGGAACACCGAUGGCGAAGGCAAUCCCCUGGACCUGUACUGACGCUCAUGCACGAAAGCGUGGGGAGCAAACAGGAUUAGAUACCCCUGUAGUC
rnacentral:rRNA from 1 species